GUUAUUUACAUCUCUUUGCUGUGAUUGCUUGAUUUGUUUGAGGUAACUUCCUUGCAUUUAUUAGAGGGAAUUUGUCGAAAAGGAAGAUGGGAAAAAAGCUAGUAGGGGAUUGUUAUUCAAAAUAGACAAACAGAGAGUAGAGGAAAAAUCAAAGGUAAUUGUUCAAUCGAAUUUAGAAUGAAGACACAACAUUCUGAAACAACAACCGAAUCUACUUGUAAUCGACGUCUUCUUUUUAUUAAAAUAUGUUUGGGUAAUGUACGAAUUAUUCUUUCCAAAAAACUUUGUUAAAUGUUGACAAAAUAGUUUUAAGGAAUAAAUAUAUAGUUAUAACUCAUCCAUAAA